UAAUGAUCCUUCCGCAGGUUCACCUACGGA
rnacentral:rRNA from 1 species